rnacentral:rRNA from 1 species
UAGCGAGGGGGGCGAGCGUUGUUCGGAAUUAUUGGGCGUAAAGGGUGCGUAGGCGGUUCCGCAAGUCCUGUGUGAAAUCUUCGGGCUCAACUCGAAGUCUGCACGGGAAACUGCGGGGCUUGAGUGUGGGAGAGGUGAGUGGAAUUCCCGGUGUAGCGGUGAAAUGCGUAGAUAGUCGGGAGGAACACCUGUGGCGAAAGCGGCUCACUGGACCAUAACUGACGCUGAUGCACGAAAGGCUGGGGGGAGCAAACAGG